rnacentral:rRNA from 1 species
AUGAAUGCUGGCGGCGUGCCUAAUACAUGCAAGUCGAGCGAACAGACGAGGAGCUUGCUCCUCUGACGUUAGCGGCGGACGGGUGAGUAACACGUGGAUAACCUACCUAUAAGACUGGGAUAACUUCGGGAAACCGGAGCUAAUACCGGAUAAUAUAUUGAACCGCAUGGUUCAAUAGUGAAAGACGGUUUUGCUGUCACUUAUAGAUGGAUCCGCGCCGCAUUAGCUAGUUGGUAAGGUAACGGCUUACCAAGGCAACGAUGCGUAGCCGACCUGAGAGGGUGAUCGGCCACACUGGAACUGAGACACGGUCCAGACUCCUACGGGAGGCAGCAGUAGGGAAUCUUCCGCAAAGGGCGAAAGCCUGACGGAGCAACGCCGCGUGAGUGAUGAAGGUCUUCGGAUCGUAAAACUCUGUUAUUAGGGAAGAACAAAUGUGUAAGUAACUAUGCACGUCUUGACGGUACCUAAUCAGAAAGCCACGGCUAACUACGUG